AAGGAAUAUUGGACAAUGGGGGCAACCCUGAUCCAGCCAUGCCGCGUGAGUGACGAAGGCCUUCGGGUUGUAAAGCUCUUUCGGAUGUGAAGAUAAUGACAGUAACAUAAGAAGAAGCUCCGGCUAAACUCGUGCCAGCAGCCGCGGUAAUACGAGUGGAGCGAGCGUUGUUCGGAAUCACUGGGCGUAAAGCGUGCGCAGGCGGUUAUACAAGUCAGGAGUGAAAUCCCAGGGCUUAACCCUGGAAUUGCUCUUGAAACUGUAUGACUAGAAUCCCGGAGAGGUUGGCGGAAUUCUCAGUGUAGAGGUGAAAUUCGCAGAUAUUGAGAGGAACACCAGUGGCGUAAGCGGCCAACUGGACGGGUAUUGACGCUCAGGCACGAAAGCGUGGGGAUCAAAC
rnacentral:rRNA from 1 species